rnacentral:rRNA from 1 species
GAUGGACGCUGGCGGCGUGCUUAACACAUGCAAGUCGAACGGAAAGGCCAGUGCUUGCACUGGUACUCGAGUGGCGAACGGGUGAGUAACACGUGGGUGAUCUGCCCUGCACUUCGGGAUAAGCCUGGGAAACUGGGUCUAAUACCGGAUAGGACAAUGGUUUGGAUGCCGUUGUGGAAAGUUUUUUCGGUGUGGGAUGAGCUCGCGGCCUAUCAGCUUGUUGGUGGGGUAAUGGCCUACCAAGGCGUCGACGGGUAGCCGGCCUGAGAGGGUGUACGGCCACAUUGGGACUGAGAUACGGACCAGACUCCUACGGGAAGCAGCAGCGGGGAAUAUUGCACAAUGGGCGCAAGCCUGAUGCAGCGACGCCGCGUGGGGGAUGACGGCCUUCGGGUUGUAAACUCCUUUCGCUAGGGACGAAGCGUAUUUGUGACGGUACCUGGAGAAGAAGCACCGGCUAACUACGUG